rnacentral:rRNA from 1 species
AAAUUGAAGAGUUUGAUCAUGGCUCAGAUUGAACGCUGGCGGCAGGCCUAACACAUGCAAGUCGAACGGUAACAGGAAGCAGCUUGCUGCUUUGCUGACGAGUGGCGGACGGGUGAGUAAUGUCUGGGAAACUGCCUGAUGGAGGGGGAUAACUACUGGAAACGGUGGCUAAUACCGCAUAACGUCGCAAGACCAAAGAGGGGGACCUUCGGGCCUCUUGCCAUCAGAUGUGCCCAGAUGGGAUUAGCUAGUUGGUGAGGUAACGGCUCACCAAGGCGACGAUCCCUAGCUGGUCUGAGAGGAUGACCAGCCACACUGGAACUGAGACACGGUCCAGACUCCUACGGGAGGCAGCAGUGGGGAAUAUUGCACAAUGGGCGCAAGCCUGAUGCAGCCAUGCCGCGUGUAUGAAGAAGGCCUUCGGGUUGUAAAGUACUUUCAGCGGGGAGGAAGGUGUUGCGGUUAAUAACCGCAGCAAUUGACGUUACCCGCAGAAGAAGCACCGGCUAACUCCGUGCCAGCAGCCGCGGUAAUACGGAGGGUGCAAGCGUUAAUCGGAAUUACUGGGCGUAAAGCGCACGCAGGCGGUCUGUCAAGUCGGAUGUGAAAUCCCCGGGCUCAACCUGGGAACUGCAUUCGAAACUGGCAGGCUUGAGUCUUGUAGAGGGGGGUAGAAUUCCAGGUGUAGCGGUGAAAUGCGUAGAGAUCUGGAGGAAUACCGGUGGCGAAGGCGGCCCCCUGGACAAAGACUGACGCUCAGGUGCGAAAGCGUGGGGAGCAAACAGGAUUAGAUACCCUGGUAGUCCACGCCGUAAACGAUGUCUACUUGGAGGUUGUGCCCUUGAGGCGUGGCUUCCGGAGCUAACGCGUUAAGUAGACCGCCUGGGGAGUACGGCCGCAAGGUUAAAACUCAAAUGAAUUGACGGGGGCCCGCACAAGCGGUGGAGCAUGUGGUUUAAUUCGAUGCAACGCGAAGAACCUUACCUGGUCUUGACAUCCACGGAAGUUUUCAGAGAUGAGAAUGUGCCUUCGGGAACCGUGAGACAGGUGCUGCAUGGCUGUCGUCAGCUCGUGUUGUGAAAUGUUGGGUUAAGUCCCGCAACGAGCGCAACCCUUAUCCUUUGUUGCCAGCGGUCCGGCCGGGAACUCAAAGGAGACUGCCAGUGAUAAACUGGAGGAAGGUGGGGAUGACGUCAAGUCAUCAUGGCCCUUACGACCAGGGCUACACACGUGCUACAAUGGCGCAUACAAAGAGAAGCGACCUCGCGAGAGCAAGCGGACCUCAUAAAGUGCGUCGUAGUCCGGAUUGGAGUCUGCAACUCGACUCCAUGAAGUCGGAAUCGCUAGUAAUCGUGGAUCAGAAUGCCACGGUGAAUACGUUCCCGGGCCUUGUACACACCGCCCGUCACACCAUGGGAGUGGGUUGCAAAAGAAGUAGGUAGCUUAACCUUCGGGAGGGCGCUUACCACUUUGUGAUUCAUGACUGGGGUGAAGUCGUAACAAGGUAACCGUAGGGGAACCUGCGGUUGGAUCACCUCCUUA